rnacentral:lncRNA from 1 species
GACAAGGCCCAAUCCCAUGAAGCCCAAGGAUCCGCUUUGUGCAGACUUAGAUUGGGUAAGGUGGAUCAUCAAUGCCAUCAAAACUGGGAAGUCUUAUAACCAUCGAGACAAUCGGACCAAGGAAGCAUCAACGACAACAAGUUGUGGGCUUUUAGAUUGAUCCUAAAAAAGAUGAAAUGGUGUGUCCAAGAUGAUGUACAAAGGGGAGAU